AUUGAACGCUGGCGGCAUGCCUUACACAUGCAAGUCGAACGGCAGCACGGGUGCUUGCUCCUGGUGGCGAGUGGCGAACGGGUGAGUAAUACAUCGGAACAUGUCCUGUAGUGGGGGAUAGCCCGGCGAAAGCCGGAUUAAUACCGCAUACGAUCUACGGAUGAAAGCGGGGGACCUUCGGGCCUCGCGCUAGAGGGGUUGCCGAUGGCUGAUUAGCUUGUGGGUGGGGUAAAGGCCUACCAAGGCGACGAUCAGUAGCUGGUCUGAGAGGACGAGCAGCCACACUGGGACUGAGACACGGCCCAGACUCCUACGGGAGGCAGCAGUGGGGAAUUUUGGACAAUGGGCGAAAGCCUGAUCCAGCAAUGCCGCGUGUGUGAAGAAGGCCUUCGGGUUGUAAAGCACUUUUGUCCGGAAAGAAAUCCUUGGCCCUAAUACGGUCGGGGGAUGACGGUACCGGAAGAAUAAGCACCGGCUAACUACGUG
rnacentral:rRNA from 1 species